ACAGAGCACAGGAAAUCUCCAGUCUUCUAGCUUAUUUCCAGUUGCUGCUUCACCACCGCACUGAGAUGGCUGCAGCGCCUACCUCUGGAGUAUUUGAACUCCACCACUUCCUCCUCUCACUCAUAGCCCUCUGCUAUGUUUUCCUGGUUAGUGAUUCUGCCACUGUGACGGUGACACAGGAACCUCCCUUCUCCAGCUUCUCACAAGGGCAGAGUUUUAACUUCACCUGCUCACAUUCAUCAACCUCAAGCUACGAUUUAUACUGGUAUCGCCAGCUGCCCAGAAAGACAGAGCUACAACACCUUGGAACUUUGGCGUAUUAUGCACAGGAAUGGAAGAACGAGUUCAACCACAACCCACCAAACUGGCUGAGCGGGGGAUGGCUGGACAACAGCAAGAAGGCAAUGCGUCUCCAUCUUGAAGGUCUCCAGCUGGAUGACACAGGGCUGUACCUGUGUCUUGCACACGACACAGUGAUUGAGGCAGGAAAUGGGGCUGGUACAAAACUGAGUGUCAGGAACAGACAUACACUUCUGGACUCUUUCAGUGGCUGCAAAUGACUCCCCCCCCACGUC